rnacentral:tRNA from 1 species
CCUCGCUUAGCUCAGUUGGUUAGAGCACUCGGCUUAUACCCAAGUGGUCGGUGGUUCAAGUCCAUCAGCGAGGA